GAGACUGGGCUCAAGGUGAGGGGUGCUAUCUGUGACUGAGGGCAUGGUCAGCGGAUUGUCUCACACAGAAAUCGCACCCGUCACCUUGGCCUGCCUA
rnacentral:pre_miRNA from 1 species